UGGGGAAUCUUCCGCAAUGGGCGAAAGCCUGACGGAGCAAUGCCGCGUGAACGAAGAAGGUCUUCGGAUUGUAAAGUUCUGUCCUUGCCGAAGAGAGGUAGAUGGAGUAACUGCCAUAUACAGGACGGUAGGCGAGGAGGAAGCCCCGGCUAACUACGUGCCAGCAGCCGCGGUAAUACGUAGGGGGCAAGCGUUGUCCGGAAUCACUGGGCGUAAAGGGCGCGUAGGCGGCAAUAUAAGUCAGAUGUGAAAGGUGAGGGCUCAACCCUUAGACUGCAUCUGAUACUGUAUAGCUUGAGUGUGAGAGAGGAAAGCGGAAUUCCUAGUGUAGCGGUGAAAUGCGUAGAUAUUAGGAGGAACACCAGUGGCGAAGGCGGCUUUCUGGCUCAUAACUGACGCUGAGGCGCGAAAGCGUGGGGAGCAAACA
rnacentral:rRNA from 1 species